rnacentral:snRNA from 1 species
CUACCUAUUUUACAUAUAUUAUAUUGAAAAAUCAAAUUGUUACAAUAGAUCAGUUGCGCUUACUUGUGUGAUGUUUCAAAGUCAUAGAGCUGGAAAAAUGAGGACCAAUGGAAUUUUUCAGACGGAGUGCUAGGGGCUUGCUCCACCUCUGUCGCGGGUUGACCCGGUAUUGCAGUACCUCCGGGACCGGCCCACCUAAU